rfam:Erinaceus europaeus unplaced genomic scaffold scaffold00282, whole genome shotgun sequence
AUCGCUUCUCAGCCUUUUGGCUAAGAUUAAGUGUAGUAUCUCUUCUUAUCACUGUAGUAUCUGAUACGUCCUCUAUCCGAGGACAAUAUAUUAAAUGAAUAUUUGGAGCAGGGAGUCAGAAUAGGGGCUUGCUCCAUCUGCUCCACGCAACAACCUGGUAUUGCAGUACUUCCAGGAAUGGUUCACAAACA